AGUGAACGCUGGCGGUAGGCCUAACACAUGCAAGUCGAACGGCAGCACAGUAAGAGCUUGCUCUUACGGGUGGAGAGUGGCGGACGGGUGAGGAAUACAUCGGAAUCUACUUUUUCGUGGGGGAUAACGUAGGGAAACUUAAGCUAAUAUAGAAUAGGCUCUUCGGUUGAAAGCAGGGGAUCUUCGGACCUUGCGGGAUUGACUGAGCGUAGUUAGGAUUAGCUGUUGGGCGGGUUAAAGGCCCACGAAGGGGAGUAUCCGUAGCUGGUCUGAGUGAAGGAUCAGCCACACUGGAACGGAGACACGGUCCAGACUCCUACGGGAGGCACCAGUGGGGAAUAUUGGACAAAGGUGGCAAGCCUGAUCCAGCCAUACCGCGUGGGUGAAGAAGGCCUUCGGUUUGUAAAGCCCGUUUGUUGGGAAAAAAAAGCAGCAGGGUGAUACGCCGCUGUUCUGACGGUACCCAAAGAAUAAGCACCGGCUAACUUCGUG
rnacentral:rRNA from 1 species